UUUCCGGUUGAUCUUGCCGGCCCUGACUGCUAUCGGAUUGAUACUAAGCCAUGCGAGUCUUUGUAGUAAUACAAGGCAGACGGCUCAGUAACACGUAGUCAACCUACCCUAUGGACGGGAAUAAUCUCGGGAAACUGAGGAUAAUACCCGGCAUAUCAUCAUUCCUGGAAUGGUUGGUGAUUAAAAUGAUUCGUCGCCGUAGGAUGGGACUGCGACCUAUCAGCUUGUUGGUGGGGUAAAGGCCCACCAAGGCGAUUACAGGUACGGGCUCUGAGAGGAGAAGCCUGGAGAUGGGUACUGAGACACGGACCCAGGCCCUAUGGGGCGCAGCAGGCGAGAAAACUUUGCAAUGUGCGAAAGCACGACAAGGUUAAUCCGAGUGAUUUCUGCUAAAGGAAUCUUUUGCCAGUCCUAAAAAUACUAGUGAAUAAGGGGUGGGCAAGUUCUGGUGUCAGCCGCCGCGGUAAAACCGGCACCUCAAGUGGUCAGGAGGAUUAUUGGGCCUAAAGCAUCCGUAGCCUGCUCUGUAAGUUUUCGGUUAAAUCUAUAUGCUCAACGUAUAGGCCGCCGAAAAUACUGCAGUGCUAGGAAGUGGGAGAGGUAGACGGUACUUGGUAGGAAGGGGUGAAAUCCUUUGAUCUAUCGAUGACCACCUGUGGCGAAGGCGGUCUACCAGAACACGUUCGACGGUGAGGGAUGAAAGCUGGGGGAGCAAACCGGAUUAGAUA
rnacentral:rRNA from 1 species